rnacentral:pre_miRNA from 1 species
CAAGCCGGCAUCCCAGGCGUCACGGGACUGCCCUCGAGUGUGUGGCGGUGGGACCUCGAGCUUGUUUUCCUGGUGGUCUGGCUGUG